rnacentral:rRNA from 1 species
UACGUAGGGUGCGAGCGUUAAUCGGAAUUACUGGGCGUAAAGCGUGCGCAGGCGGUUAUUUAAGCCAGACGUGAAAGCCCCGGGCUUAACCUGGGAAUGGCGUUUGGGACUGGAUAGCUAGAGUUCGGCAGAGGGAGGUGGAAUUCCACGUGUAGCAGUGAAAUGCGUAGAUAUGUGGAGGAACACCGAUGGCGAAGGCAGCCUCCUGGGCCAGGACUGACGCUCAUGCACGAAAGCGUGGGGAGCAAACAGG